rnacentral:lncRNA from 1 species
CUAAAAUCAACAAAAUUUAAUACUUAUAAUAUAUAUAUAGAACUCCUGAAAAAUCCAACAGAAGAAGACAGGAAGCCCCAUAGGAGCACAAUGAAAAGAUAUAAAUGCGCAAUUUUUACGUAAGGUUCAAAUAAAUUAUUUCAAAACUCCUAGAAUUAACUAAUAAUCAUAAAAAGGGCUAAGAUCACGAAAUAUCUUUUUAUACCUUUGCAUCUAUCAACAAUUAGCGUUGCACCCAGGCGAGUUAGAGAAAACGCCACACUUUGAGACGAGUAUACAUAUGUAACAAACAUGCACGUCAUGCACAUGUACCCUAAAAGUAUAAUAACAAUAAAAUAAAAAAAAAAAUAAGAUGCAAAUUGGAAAGGGCACGAGAGGGUAUCUUAGUGAAAAUUCUAUGUGAAUUUAUAUAUCAUAAAUUUAUAAAUUAAUUCAUCCAUUCAUUCAUAUAUUAUGAACAAAAUAUAUGUAAUGAUAUAUAAAUGAAUAUUCAUUUAUUUAUGUAUUAUAUAUUCAUUCACCAUCCCUUAUUAUGGAGAAAUUUGAAAAUAUAAAAUUAUUUACUCAAAAGCUUUAUUAAAAAAAAAAAAAAAAGAGUCCUUUAUUAGCCGGCGACCAGGCCGCUUCCCUCUUACCAGAACCAGAACAAAGUCAAAUCUGACCUACCUGACCCCGGGGUGAGAAGCUGAGGACUCAGAUGUUGAAUUUUAGGGCACUGACACGGUAGUCGAUCCGCUCUCCUCCGGAAGACGGUCACUCUUUGGGGACCUGAAAAUUGUUUCCUCAGGUGGCGCCCCCCUCCGAGCCGGCUGUCCUUCCGGGGGAGCCCGGAGCGAGACUGGCUCUCGCCCAGUGGCGUUAAUAUCUUGCUGGGGCCUCCAUUAUGUUGUAUCCAGGCAAGUCAGAGAAAACGCCACACUUUGGGAUGAAUUAAGAGUCCUUUAUUAGCCGGCGACGAGAGACGGCUAACGCUCAAAAUUCUCUCGGCCCUGAAGAAGGGGGUAGAUUUUCUUUUAUACUUUGGUUUAGAAAGGGGAGGGGGGUCUAGUUAGAACAAUUUUACAGAAGUUAAGUAGGCAAAAAGUUAAAAGGAUAAAUGAUUACAGGAAAGUAAACAGUUCCAGGUGCAAGGGCUUUAAGACUACUACAAGGUGAUAGACUCGGGGCUUUGGGCGUUAUCAAUCAGACGAAAUCCUGGGAACUGCGGAUACAGCUCGCCACAGUAUCUUAUCAGUUAAUUGCAUUCUUGGAUGUGCUGGGAGUCAGCUUGCACAAGUUAAGUCCUUGAGGAAGGGGCUGCCAGUCAAAGAGCCAAGAUGGAGUCUAUCUGGCUCUCUUAGCUAAGGGAGAAUCAAUUCAGGUGGAAACAAGCCUAAAAACAGAGUUAGUAAAAACAAAGUUGGGCAUUACAUUAGAAAACCAGGUAUUUGCAAGGAUUGGUGAGUAUAUAGGAACAGAAGAACCCUCAUGCACUGAGAAAAAUAGAGUGCAGGCUAACACCGUCACAGCCUAGAGGUAUCCGGCAGUAUCUAGUUAAACCCUUCUGUGAAUAGCCCAGAGACACUCUUACACACCUUCAGAAAGGGACAAGUUCAAGGAUGUUCACUGUAGCAAUAGGAGGUGAAGUCAGUUGGGCUUCUGGGUAGGGUGGGGACUUGGAGAACUUUUGCAUCUAGCUAAAGGAUUGUAAAUGCACCAAUCAGCGCUCUGUGUCUAGCUAAAGGAUUGUAAAUGCACCAGUCAGCACUCUGUAAAAACGCACCAAUCAGCACUCUGUAAAACAGACCAAUCAGCACUCUGUAAAACGGACCAAUCAGCACUCUGUAAAAUGGACCAAUCAGUGCUCUGUAAAAUGGACCAAUCAGCAGGAUGUGGGCAGGGCCAAAUAAGAGAAUAAAAGCUGGCCACUGGAGCCAGCAGCAGCACCCAGCGUGGGACCCCUUUUGCACUGUGGUACCUUUGUUCUUUUGCUCUUCACAAUAAAUCUUGCUGCCACUCACUUUUUGGGUCCACACUACCUUUAUGAGCUGUAACACUCACUGUGAGGGUCUGCGGCUUCACUCCUGAAGUCAGCGAGAACAAGAACCCAUAGGAAGGAAUAAAUUAUGGACACAGCAAGAUGUAUGAUGGGGUUGUUGGUCAGUUUUAGAAUCCAUCCCUGGGAAUGGGGAUACAUAAAAUGUGCAGUAUAGAGACCAUAGAGUACAGUGCAGCAGUUAGGUGUCAGGAAUUUAAUUUUCAAGUGACAUGGAAGAGUUCCAGAAACAUAGUGUGGAUGAAGAUGAAAGAUGUAUAAUACAACUUGAUGAUGUAAAUUGAAACCCACAUGCAAACAAAACAACAAUAUGCAUUGUGCAAAACACAGAAAGAUGCACAUUAGCACAUUUGUAACGACAGAGGGAGGUAGAGGGAAUGGGCUAUAGGGAUCAAAGGAAAUCAACAUAACCAAAGGGGAACAAUUCUCACACAGACCACAGCCCACCACAGAAAGCAAGCAAAAGACCUGAUGGGUCUGUGUUUUUUUGGAUCAUCUGAAAGCAACAAUACAUAUGAAGUUCAGAGGUAC